GACGAACGCUGGCGGCGUGCCUAAUACAUGCAAGUAGAACGCUGAAGGAGGAGCUUGCUUCUCAGGAUGAGUUGCGAACGGGUGAGUAACGCGUAGGUAACCUGCCUGGUAGCGGGGGAUAACUAUUGGAAACGAUAGCUAAUACCGCAUAAGAGUAGAUGUUGCAUGACAUUUACUUAAAAGGUGCAAUUGCAUCACUACCAGAUGGACCUGCGUUGUAUUAGCUAGUUGGUGAGGUAACGGCUCACCAAGGCAACGAUACAUAGCCGACCUGAGAGGGUGAUCGGCCACACUGGGACUGAGACACGGCCCAGACUCCUACGGGAGGCAGCAGUAGGGAAUCUUCGGCAAUGGACGGAAGUCUGACCGAGCAACGCCGCGUGAGUGAAGAAGGUUUUCGGAUCGUAAAGCUCUGUUGUAAGAGAAGAACGAGUGUGAGAGUGGAAAGUUCACACUGUGACGGUAUCUUACCAGAAAGGGACGGCUAACUACGUG
rnacentral:rRNA from 1 species